UCUUAGACUGUUACUGUGCGGUUCAGAUGUCUUGUGGGGUGCUUAUUGCAGUCAACAAAGCAGACAUCUGUAAGUUUCAAGCCGAUGCUAUUGUGAAUCCUGCUAAUGAAGACCU